UCUUAUUUCUCUUUCUUCUUUCGUUCUUCUUUCUUCUCUUUUCUUCUUCUUUAUGUUUUUCCUCUUCUCUUCUGGCUAUCUCAAAUCAAGAGGAUUAAUUAAGCGAGAUUUGUGUGUUUGAUUCAUGAAACAACUUGUAACUUGAUUAAUCGAGGAAGUUGAUGUUGAUACUGAAACUGAUUGAGUUUCGGGAAAAGAAGGAAUUAACGUUGCUGCUAAUAGAAGUUAGGGUUUAUACGAAAAGCUCAGAGAAAGAUUAAGAGAUGAAAUUCGUGUUCUAAGAUCAGGAAUUGAGAUGGGUUUAUGUUUAAUUGGGUGAUAUGAAGUCGUUUUGAUGAAGAAUCAGUGAGUUAGGGUUUGUAAGAAAUUCAGAGAGGCUGUAGAAGAUGAAAUUGAAGGUCUGGAAGAUUAUUUGGAGAUGGGUAUGACGUGAAAUAGAGUAUUGAUUGAAGCAGGGUUGUGCUAGCAGUGAAGAUUGAUUCAAUUUGAGAAAUAGGGUUUCUGUUCUUCCCCAAAACAGAAAUUAGGGAUUAGGUUUUCGUUCUUGAAGAUUUUGGAUAAGGAGGAGGUAGAAGAUGUUUGAUUUGAAGAUUUGAAUUGAUGUUAUGAACUCGAAUUAGAAAGUAGAGGAUUAAGAAUUGGUUUAGUGUUCCUGAGAAUCAAAGAUGAAGAUGGGUAUUAUAAAAUUUUAGUUAAUUGAACUGAUGGGUGUUGUUAGUUUAGAGGUGUGAUGCUGAUUUGAGUCAAAGUAGAGAACUUGAGUUUAGUUAUUGGAGCAAAGCUACUUUAAGGUAAAUUGUCUCUCUUAGCAACUUAGAAAGUUAUCUGGUUUUCUUUAUCAAGUUUAUAUGAAUGUUUAUGAAUUGGGGAUUGAAAUGGUUAUAGCAAAGAUGGAAUGUAUACAUGAAUUAAUCUUUAUCUCAAGAUGGAGUUUAUGUAUUGUUGUGAAUCAGUUGGAAGUGGAAAGGAAGUAUUAUUACUGAGUUAUGAUGAUGUUGUAUUGAGAGGCAGUUAGACUUAAUUUACAUGGAAUAAACUCAGUUUGGUUUUACAGGUGUGUAGUUGUGUUGGUGGUGUUGAACUGGUGGUGCAAAAUGGUUUAGAUGAGUAUGUUUGUUGUGUUGAAGAAUUGGCAUUAGGAAAAGAGGCUUGUGCUACUGUUGUGGGUGUUAAUGAUUGAAGCGGUGAGUGCAGGUGAUGAUACUGAAGUUGGGGAUAGUAUCCGUCGGUGAAUGUUGAGCUGAUAUCGCAAGGAUGGGAAGUUGGAGGUGUUUUUGGUACUGGAAUGGGAUGCAGGUGAAGUUAUUAGUGUCUCUUGUCAAGAAGUAGGUUAGAGUGGUGAUUUAGAGCUGUAGAUAGUGUUUGCUGUAAAGCUUGGAUAUUGCAGCUACUGCUUUUGCAGUUAGUCUAUAUUAACAACGAUCGAUUUAAAGGGCGAACCAGUGGAUCGUGGAUAUCGGGGUAGGCACGGAUUGUCUUCAAAAGAGUUUCAGAGACAGAUUAGAGUUGCGCAGCAAAAGCUUCAAGGGUGGAUUUCCGCUGUGUUUAUUAUGUUGCGUAUUUUAUUUGUAAACCAAAUAACUAUUGUAUAUGUAUCAUCUGAGAGGAAUCCUUGUAUAUAUAUAUAUAUUUCAGAGUGGGGCUAGUUUUGGG